UCUUAAAGUGAUCUGGUAGAGUACCACAUCAGCCAGACAGAUACUUAGAUUUCUUGAUCUGGGAUGGGGACCCUAUUGAACUCGAUGAGAACAAUGAGGAUCCGAUCACCUACAUGGAUGCGAUGUAGAGAUCUGACUCUAACAAAUGGCUUGAAGUCAUGAAAUCCAAAAUGAAGUCUAUGAAGGUCAACGAUGUAUGGAUAUUGGUUGACCCAUCUGAAAGGGUUAAACCUAUAGGGUAUAAGUGGGUCUUCAAGAGGAAGAGGGGCAC
rnacentral:lncRNA from 1 species